rnacentral:rRNA from 1 species
AUUGCCCUAGUAACGGCGAGUGAAGCGGCAACAGCUCAAAUUUGAAAUCUGGCUCUUUCAGAGUCCGAGUUGUAAUUUGCAGAGGGCGCUUUGGCUUUGGCAGCGGUCCAAGUUCCUUGGAACAGGACGUCACAGAGGGUGAGAAUCCCGUACGUGGUCGCUAGCUAUUGCCGUGUAAAGCCCCUUCGACGAGUCGAGUUGUUUGGGAAUGCAGCUCUAAAUGGGAGGUAAAUUUCUUCUAAAGCUAAAUAUUGGCCAGAGACCGAUAGCGCACAAGUAGAGUGAUCGAAAGAUGAAAAGCACUUUGGAAAGAGAGUCAAACAGCACGUGAAAUUGUUGAAAGGGAAGCGCUUGCAGCCAGACUUGCUUGCAGUUGCUCAUCCGGGCUUUUGCCCGGUGCACUCUUCUGUAGGCAGGCCAGCAUCAGUUUGGGCGGUGGGAUAAAGGUCUCUGUCACGUACCUCUCUUCGGGGAGGCCUUAUAGGGGAGACGACAUACCACCAGCCUAGACUGAGGUCCGCGCAUCUGCUAGGAUGCUGGCGUAAUGGCUGUAAGCGGCCCGUCUUGAAACACGGACCAAGGAGUCUAACAUCUAUGCGAGUGUUUGGGUGUCAAGCCCGAGCGCGUAAUGAAAGUGAACGGAGGUGGGAACCCGCAAGGGUGCACCAUCGACCGAUCCUGAAGUUUACGGAAGGAUUUGAGUAAGAGCAUGGCUGUUGGGACCCGAAAGAUGGUGAACUAUGCUUGAAUAGGGUGAAGCCAGAGGAAACUCUGGUGGAGGCUCGCAGCGGUUCUGACGUGCAAAUCGAUCGUCAAAUUUGGGCAUAGGGGCGAAAGACUAAUCGAACUAUCUAGUAGCUGGUUCCUGCC